UAGAAUUUCUAUUCUAGAUUUGCUAAAGUAUAAGAUCCGAAGGAUUUAUUCAAUUACUUUGAACCAAUUUGGAUAAAAUUUGGAAUUGUUCCAAAACACUUACAAUAGUAGUUAGAACAUGAAAACAACUACAAAUCACAAAGACAAAUACGAAAAUAGUCUCGUUACGGCCGGCAUCCCGUUUGUAGGGAGGAUCGGAUCGUCUUACGGAAUGGAUGUUAAUUCGCAGUUCAUGGAUCGCUAGGAAUUGUUCCUACAUCAAAUGCUCUUUGAAAAUGUACUCAAUUACAUUAAAGAAGUAAUAGAAAUAUUUUCUGCAUUUUGUA